CAGAAUUCUAGAAUCUUCUGUAAUGUCACAUGUCAAGAAGGUCCAUUCCUGUUAUUAGCCUUGAUGUCUUUGAUCUAUAAACAACUGGUGUCAUCUCUCCAGAUGUUUGGUUUGCUUCCUUCUGCCAUGGUGCUGUAGUGGGAGGCAUCCCUUCACUCCCGCAGUCUUGGAGCUCCCUGAUUGUUGUCGCUGCUGCUGCUGCUGCUGCUGCCGUUGCCGUUGUUCUGCUACUCUGCAGAGGGUCAACUCUGUCACAUUUGGGCCACACCUCGCUUUUACUGGGUUUCUCCCUAACCCCUUUCAGGUAUAACUAACACCACUUCUGCUGCCCAGCUGUGGACCCACACGUCGAGAGAUAUCCAUGUUUAUACAGUUACUGAAAGGUGUCAGCAAACACAAUGUUAAGAGCCCGGACUUCUGUUAUCGUGUAUAUUCUCCGUCUCUGCAAAGUACCAUCUCUCAGCGAUCUUUGAACUCAGUAACUUCAUUUGAUGGCUUGGUAACCUGAAGCAAGCAAAAUGCCAUCUCAUGCAUUUUUGGUGUCUCUCAUCUUCCAAAUAUUGGUGCAAACCCAGAUAC
rnacentral:lncRNA from 1 species